AAUAGAUACCCCGGUAGUCCACGCCGUAAACGAUGAGUGCUAAGUGUUAGGGGGUUUCCGCCCCUUAGUGCUGCAGCUAACGCAUUAAGCACUCCGCCUGGGGAGUACAGCCGCAAGGCUGAAACUCAAAGGAAUUGACGGGGGCCCGCACAAGCGGUGGAGCAUGUGGUUUAAUUCGAAGCAACGCGAAGAACCUUACCAGGUCUUGACAUCUCCUGACCGCCCUGGAGACAGGGUCUUCCCUUCGGGGACAGGAUGACAGGUGGUGCAUGGUUGUCGUCAGCUCGUGUCGUGAGAUGUUGGGUUAAGUCCCGCAACGAGCGCAACCCUUGUCCUUAGUUGCCAGCAUUCAGUUGGGCACUCUAAGGAGACUGCCGGCUAAAAGUCGGAGGAAGGUGGGGAUGACGUCAAAUCAUCAUGCCCCUUAUGACCUGGGCUACACACGUGCUACAAUGGGCGGUACAGAGGGUCGCGAACCCGCGAGGGGGAGCCAAUCCCAAAAAACCGCUCUCAGUUCGGAUUGCAGG
rnacentral:rRNA from 1 species